UACGUAGGGUGCAAGCGUUGUCCGGAAUUAUUGGGCGUAAAGGGCGCGUAGGCGGCCUAUUAAGUCGGACGUGAAAUCCCUCGGCUCAACCGGGGAACUGCGUCCGAUACUGGCAGGCUUGAAUCCGGGAGAGGGAUGUGGAAUUCCAGGUGUAGCGGUGAAAUGCGUAGAUAUCUGGAGGAACACCGGUGGCGAAGGCGGCAUCCUGGACCGGUAUUGACGCUGAGGCGCGAAAGCUAGGGGAGCAAACGGG
rnacentral:rRNA from 1 species